rnacentral:rRNA from 1 species
AGUGAACGCUGGCGGUAGGCCUAACACAUGCAAGUCGAACGGCAGCACAGGAGAGCUUGCUCUCUGGGUGGCGAGUGGCGGACGGGUGAGGAAUACAUCGGAAUCUACCUUUUCGUGGGGGAUAACGUAGGGAAACUUACGCUAAUACCGCAUACGACCUACGGGUGAAAGUGGGGGACCGCAAGGCCUCACGCGAUUAGAUGAGCCGAUGUCCGAUUAGCUAGUUGGCGGGGUAAUGGCCCACCAAGGCGACGAUCGGUAGCUGGUCUGAGAGGAUGAUCAGCCACACUGGAACUAAGACACGGUCCAGACUCCUACGGGAGGCAGCAGUGGGGAAUAUUGGACAAUGGGCGCAAGCCUGAUCCAGCCAUACCGCGUGGGUGAAGAAGGCCUUCGGGUUGUAAAGCCCUUUUGUUGGGAAAGAAAUCCUGUCGAUUAAUACUCGGUGGGGAUGACGGUACCCAAAGAAUAAGCACCGGCUAACUUCGUG